rnacentral:tRNA from 1 species
GCCUUUGUGGCGUAAUGGCUAACGCGUCUGACUGUGAGUAUAUCUGACGUUCAGCGUUCGAGUUUCAAUAUCUAAUCAAAUAAAAUAGUCUAAGCACGAAAUCAGAAGAUUGCGGGUUCGAGUCCCGCCUAAGGUU